rnacentral:rRNA from 1 species
AUGGAGUCGGGGGCCUCCGCCGUUUCCAUCGUUAGAUGUAAGCCAUCCGACGGUUCGGCCGCAGCGCCGCUGGACGUGGCGCCUCUGGCAACCAUCGCGCCGCUCCCAACCACCGCGCCGCUGGACGCGCCCGUCGCGGUGCUCACCACGCCCCUGGAAACGGUCCAUAUGCUCCUGGACGCGCCCACUGCGGUGAACAUGUUUUUGCGAUUGAGAUCAUCUUCUCUCGCAUAUCAAACUUGCAAAUUUUUGAAUAUUUCUCCCUCCUUAUAUAUGAAUUGUAGCAUACACAAGGUAAUGGCAAUGUAG